GGAGGCAGCAGUGGGGAUAUUGCACAAUGGGCGAAAGCCUGAUGCAGCGACGCCGCGUGAGGGAUGACGGCCUUCGGGUUGUAAACCUCUUUCAGCAGGGACGAAGCGCAAGUGACGGUACCUGCAGAAGAAGCACCGGCUAACUACGUGCCAGCAGCCGCGGUAAU
rnacentral:rRNA from 1 species